GUUGCGACGAAUAAAAUAAAUUUUUUUGCUCCCGAAAUACUUAACGAAAAAAAGAAGCGCCUAACAAAAUUUUCAUUCUCCCUCUCCAUUGUUUUACUUCUCAAGCUUUUUUCCUCACUACCUUUGUCAAUCUCCGAAAUCCCUUGCUCCCUCUUCACCAAUUCCUCAAAUUUAGACCAAGCUUCUCUUCGAAAAAAUCCUUAACCUAACCAUGAGUCAUCUUCCUCUUCUCCAUUUUACUCUCGUUGCAAACCCUAGCCGCCGUCAAAGCAAGCGAGACAUGUACCCACUCGAUACUCAUGGUCCAGACAAAGAUCCGUCUUAGUUUGAAAGAUGCCAGCGCCCUCAUGUUCCUCUGAUUCUUCCUCAUCUUACUCCUAUUCCUUCAGAUCUAUAAUCAAUCAAUGUAUUUUCUUAUUUUAUUCAAUCGAUUUAUCAUCUCUUUUGUUGGUAAAUUGAUGUCUGUGUUACAGAUCAAAUGUUGUGAACUAAUUAGCCUAAUGAUUCGAUUGAUUUUGGUGAACCCGAGGAUCGUACAAGUAUGUAGCUAUGGAGGAAGAUGGAGUCUAAUGUCAUGAGAUUCCUGUAGACAAUAACCUUCGAUUGGCCGUCCUAAACGUCUCGACAACCUCUUAGGUUAAGGCUUUACUCUGCACCUAUCAAGAAAAUCGUGUAUAAAAUUAAGGAACUUGGCAAGAGGAUCAACGAUUUAUGUGGUGUUAUGCUCGUCUUCAUGGAAGGGCUGUGAACUGUUAAUUGUGAACUGCAAAGAAGAAGAAGAAGAAGUGUGGUCAUCGCAACCAUGAUUUUUUAGAAGCCAAAGAAGAUUCCAAUCAUGUUUGCUUUGUAUUUUGUUUUCCUCUUGAGAGAUAGUUUAUUCCUUGUUUCAUUGAAUUUUUAUGUAAAACAUUUAUAUCAAUAAAAAGAUUUCGAUUUCUAUCUA
rnacentral:sRNA from 1 species